rnacentral:rRNA from 1 species
GACGAACCGUGCGAACGUUAUUCGGAAUCACUGGGCUUAAAGCGCGUGUAGGCGGUCCGGCACGUCCGUGGCUGAAAUCCCCCGGCUCAACCGGGGAAGGGGCCCGGAUACGACCGGCCUGGAGGGGGGUAGGGGGCGCCGGAACUUCCGGUGGAGCGGUGAAAUGCGUUGAGAUCGGAAGGAACGCCCGUGGCGAAAGCGGGCGCCUGGACCCCGCCUGACGCUGAGACGCGAAAGCCAGGGGAGCGAACGGG